GGUGCAGUUGUUAAAGCACUUGGUUGCUAACCGAAAGGUUGGUGGUUCAAACCCACCCUCCGCUA
rnacentral:tRNA from 1 species